UACGUAGGGGCUAGCGUUAUCCGGAAUUACUGGGCGUAAAGGGUACGUAGGUGGUUUCUUAAGUCAGAGGUGAAAGGCUACGGCUCAACCGUAGUAAGCCUUUGAAACUGGGAAACUUGAGUGCAGGAGAGGAGAGUGGAAUUCCUAGUGUAGCGGUGAAAUGCGUAGAUAUUAGGAGGAACACCAGUUGCGAAGGCGGCUCUCUGGACUGUAACUGACACUGAGGCACGAAAGCGUGGGGAGCAAACAGGAUUAGAUACCCUGGUAGUCCCUGAGCGGG
rnacentral:rRNA from 1 species